CAAAUUGUUUAAAGUUUUUUUUGAAUUUUGCCUCUGAUGCUAUAUAAUAGUUGUUAUAUUUGCUAAUUUUGCUCUAUUACUUUUCUAUCUUAUUUUUAUUUCAUUAGAUUCUAAGAAAAAUUAAUGGCAUCAUGUGGUGGAAGCUCAAGAUCAAGGGGAAAGAGCAUGUUGGUUUAGCUUCUAGGCCUACUAGGCUACUACUCAAGAGAUUUGUUAAUGGCAUGAGUUUGAUAGUCCAAAUGACACCUCUCCUUUUACUGAUUUGGAAUCAACACCAUCUAGUGCAUUCUCAUAAUUUGGACAAACAAACCCGUAGAGCUUAUAUCUAAUACUUUUAAGAUUUAUUUUACAAAAAUUUAUAAGGAUGAUAGAACUAUUACCCAUGCUAGAUGUUAUUAUUGUGAUUCAAAAUUUAAACAAAACAAAGGAGAAGGGUAUGACACAUUCAAUGGCACAUGAAGGUGAAGAAGCAUCUGGACAAGAUUGGGCAUCUUUGAUCUUGAAUAUAAAUCUGAUUCACAGUGGAUUAAGGUACUAGUUAUCAAACUUUAUUAUUCUUAUAUUCUUAAUCAAGAUAUAGGGACAAAAUUAUAGAGAAAAUUUCUAUUCAGCACUUUCCAUUUAACUUCAUGGAGUGGUAUCUAGUACAUGAGUGUAUAAACAAGACCUUGGAACUGGAGUGUAAGGGGGAUAUUAAGGAGGAUGGUGCAGCGAACCAUUUCCAAACAAUACAAGAUGGGGCCGCAACUUUCCAUAGAAGCAUCAAGCCUCUUCCAAACCGUAGAUCUCGAGCUCUCUUCUCCAGCGCCGUAACUCUCCAUAGAAAAAUCAAGCCUCCCCAAAACCCUAGAUCUCAAGCUCUCUUCUCCAGCGCCACAUCAGAGAAGAAUCAAGUCUUUCCAAAGCCCUAGAUCUCACGCUCUUUUCUCCACGUGGGCAACCAAGAAGAUGAAUGGAGGUAUUUCAGAGCUUGUGGUGAUGGCAACUGAUAUUGAGCAGAACAUUGGACUACUUUACAAAGACGCAAUGACAAAAAGAUGAGUGGCAUUCCUUGCAAUGACCAUGGAGGUUCAUCCAAGUGUCAAGCCUUCGCAUGGUGUUUAUGGCCAUAUAUAAAACUUGACACAUAUAUCUUAAGUUGUACCUAUGGGGGGGUUUUUUUUUAAUCAAAAUCAUAGAUUUUUGUAUCACUUGAGGCUUUGGUGGCAAACUUUGAUACCCACCAUUCCCAAAUACAGAA